rnacentral:rRNA from 1 species
AGUGAACGCUGGCGGUAGGCCUAACACAUGCAAGCCGAACGGCAGCACAGUAAGAGCUUGCUCUUACGGGUGGCGAGUGGCGGACGGGUGAGGAAUGCAUCGGAAUCUACUUUUUCGUGGGGGAUAACGUAGGGAAACUUACGCUAAUACCGCAUACGACCUACGGGUGAAAGCAGGGGAUCUUCGGACCUUGCGCGAUUGAAUGAGCCGAUGUCGGAUUAGCUAGUUGGCGGGGUAAAGGCCCACCAAGGCGACGAUCCGUAGCUGGUCUGAGAGGAUGAUCAGCCACACUGGAACUGAGACACGGUCCAGACUCCUACGGGAGGCAGCAGUGGGGAAUAUUGGACAAUGGGCGCAAGCCUGAUCCAGCCAUACCGCGUGGGUGAAGAAGGCCUUCGGGUUGUAAAGCCCUUUUGUUGGGAAAGAAAAGCAGCAGGUUAAUACCCCGCUGUUCUGACGGUACCCAAAGAAUAAGCACCGGCUAACUUCGUG